GGGCCCAGGAAGGGCAGAAGUCCCUGGCUAAGCUCCUCUCUGGAAAGAACAGAAGAGUGACCAGUUCCUCUGUCAGUUUGGUCUCAAUGGCAGAGGCCGGUUCCUUUAAGCUGCAGUCCGUAAAGGGUCUUGGAACGACUGGGGGCCAGGAUUCUCUGAGGGCGGGAAUCCGGGCGGCCGUCAGCUCUCGGUGGUGAUCGAGGCCACGCUCCGCCUGUCUCUGGGCGUGCAUACCUCGGUUUCCCCGUUUGUGACGUGGGAAGGCAAUUAGUCUGGACAUUGUUGUGGGAGGACUUGCGGAGACUGGGCGCAGGGCGUGGGGGUCAGUGAGGGCGCGGUGGGUCAGCCCCAGCCCGGCUGGCAGUCGCGGGGCUGGGAAGGUAGGGAACCCUCCGCUCUCACCCCACUUCCUGUUUGGUCGGUGUGUUCUGUGACCAUAGAUGGUCAAGUCUGGGGCCGCGCGGAAGCCUCCGCCCUGUGGUUUUGGAGCCCUUCCUCCCGGCGCGCAGGGUGUGGUCCCCGAGAAUAAGAUGAGCAGAAUUAAAGCAGAUCCUGCACCCACUCUGCUGAAAUCCGGCUUCUGAGGCAGCCUCGCCCAGGGCUGGGUGGGCUCAGGCGGCUGCUACUCGGUUCAGGGGAGGUUACGCACGGUGGCUGCCGCGCGCAGGGGAGGCUUCGCUUCCGUACUCCUUGGGCCGGGAGAUCCGAUCUUUGUUCCCUCAAGACUCACACUCUCCAACCGGUCAUUAUCCUCCCACAAAGAUUUAUUUCUAGAAAAAAUUGGCAAGUGCCACAGUUCCCGCCCCUUCAGCUGAACGACUGUGACAGCUCCGUGUUUCAAGUUGAAUGCAGGCGUUAUGUGCCAGAGUCAAUCAUUCAACAAAUAAAGUUCUUAAAAUAACAGCUACCAUUUACUGCACGCUGACUACUUGCCAGGCCCAUGCUGAGUUCUUCAAGCGUAUUUUCAUUUACUCCUAAUAGCAACUCUCGGUGGUAGGUACCAUUAUGCCCUCUAGUUUUCAAAUGAGGAAGCUGAAUAACUUGCCAAGGUCAGAAAGUAACUGUUGAAACUUUGAAGGAAACACAUCUGUCUGACUCUAAAUCCCAUGAGCUUAAUUAGCCCCUGUGAUAGACCAUACUGCAGACAUUUGAGGCAGAUUUGAGGUGGUGAAUGCCUCUGGAUCUGGAGACACUGGGUUCCAGUGCUGGCAUAGGCCCUCUACUAGGGGUCAGACUUUGGUCAGGUUACUUUGGACGGGUUACUGGGCCUCUUCCUAACUUUAUGGCUCCCAGCAUGUUUAAAAGAACAUGACAACAUGAAAAAAUAUGGUAUAAAAGUCAUAGUAUAUUUUAAAUAUUGACAUUUAACUAAAAACACUGUCUCACACACACACAAACUCUAACUUUAUUUGGACAUAAUCUUUGACUCUGCAUUUAGUUAUUCUAAAUCUCUUUCUGGAUUAGAGACAGAAGGAACAUAGACCAUACACGCAUUCUAGAGGAAGAGGAGAGAGAAGAGGAAGCAGGAAGGAGAAUGAAGAAAGUUUCCUCAUCAGCACAACUAGGGAUCCAGCAGUGGACAAGUCAGACCCUGUUACUGCUCUCAUGGAGCUUACAGUCUAUUUUGGAAAUGAUAUUUCCAUUUGGAGUGGUCAUCAGAAGAUACGCUGCCUUCUGUCUUCCAGCUUUUUCCUCCUCGCUGAUCUUGCCCCUUGUCCAGUACCCAGUGCUUCAUCCAUGUCUCUCUUGCAGAUAACUAUGGCCGUGUGCCUGAGAUCUGGCCAAUGGAAUCGUGGACAGUUCUCCAUGCUCUUUCUCCUUCUGUGGCAACUCUGAAUGUCGUGUGUUCAAGAUGAAGACAGAAGAUAGAAUGACCUUGGGUCUCUGAAUCAUUGCUUGGAGAAGAGCAAUUUACUGAUCAGUGGUGUGAAAAUAAGUAAUUCAAAAUCUAAGCUAUUGGGCCAGGUGCAGUGGCUCACGCCUGUAACCCCAGCACUUUGGGAAACCAAGGCAGGUGGAUCAUUUGAGGUCAGGAGUUCGAGACCAGCCUGGCCAACAGGGUGAAACCCCGUCGCUACUAAAAAUACAAAAAAUUAGCCGGGCAUGGUGGCAUACGCCUGUGGCCCCAGCUACUUGGGAGGCUAGGGCACGAGAAACACUUAAGCCCAGGAGGCGGAAGUUGCAGUGAGCCAAGACUGCACCACUGCAUGCUAGCCUGGGCAAGAGAGCAAGACUCUGCCUCAAAAAAAAAAAAAAAAAGAAAAAAAUCUAAGCUGUUGGAACAUUAAAUUAUUUUGAGCUUUAAAGAAAUGUGUUUAUGAGACUUGAGUCAUGUGACAGGCAGCUGUAACCUAGGAAACUGUAAACAUUUUUUCUCUGAUUAUAGAUUAGCCUCCUUCCUUAUCUACAUAAUUUUGUAAAAUGUUGUAAAUGACUAAAGGGUACUUCCCUUUAGUCCCACUUCACUGCUGAUCUUCAUUGCAGAUUAACUUCCUUCCUACCUCUCUCACACAAAGCCUUCAUGACUGUUACAUUAUAUACUCUUUUAAAUUAGAAAAUAAAUGAAACCAAGCCACAAGGAAAAGAAAACAAAUUAACUAAUUGAAUUGUUUUAAUUCAUAAACCAGCUUUGUAUAAGAAAUAAUCCUGUUAAAUUUCUUUGUUUUCUUCCUUUAUAAACAAGACCUUAACUUUUGACAUCAGAGCACGGACCCCAUUUCACUGACCCCAUUUUCACGGAAUAAACGCCUUAAAAAAAUUUUUUUAAUAGAAACAGAGUCUCACUUUGAUGCCCAGUCUAGUCUUGAACUCCUGGCUUUAAGCAAUUCUCCUUCUUGGUCUGCCAAAGUGCUGGAAUUACUGGUGUGAGCCACUGUGCCCAGC
rnacentral:lncRNA from 1 species